rnacentral:misc_RNA from 1 species
UCAAACUUGGUCAUUUAGAGGAAGUAAAAGUCGUAACAAGGUAACCGUAGGUGAACCUGCGGUUGGAUCAUUAAAACAAUUGUUUUUUUUUGGGCCGAACCCCUCGCUGCUGCAACUUGCAUGUGCGUGGGGGGCAACAUCGGCUCGUCAAAAACGCACCUUGUGUGAACCGUAAUAUUUUCAUUUCAUCCACGUAAUAUUCAUUUGCAGUCUAAAGUCUUCUUCAUAUCGUUAAAAUAUGGAAAAAAACAACUUUUGGCAACGGAUCUCUUGGCUCUCGCAUCGAUGAAGAACGCAGC